rnacentral:lncRNA from 1 species
UGCAAGCGGGAAUCCAAUAAAUAACUUGAAUGUAAAUAAAAGUAAUUAGAGAACUCAGAAGUUAUGAAUUGAAGAACCUGGAGAACGAUGAAGAACGAACCAGUUGCUGCAAAAGUACAAUGUUGAGGAAGAUCCGACAGAUCUGGCUCCUCCUCCUCCGCUCUCCUCUUCUCUCUCCCUAUUUUCUAGAUUACAACUAGAACUAACUAGAACUAGAACUAGAGGAACUAGAACUAGAACUAGAUAAACUAGAACUAGAUCUAGAUGAACUAGAGGUAGAACUAGAAGAACUAGAGGGAUCCUCUCUACUUGGAUAAAGAAUUGAAACCCUAACUUUGAUUCUAUAGAAGAGGUAUGAUCUCCAGGGGCCGGGGGGUCUGGUUUUAUAGUCCCUUCAAGUGAAUCUGGGCCGUAGAUCAAACCGACAUUAAUCGUACGGUUUUCCUUGAUCCAUUAGGUCGGUGGAGCAUAAUCCGCGAAACAUGUCCUGAUUGGGCACUAUAGCUGGGCGGGCGCCUAGGAGAGUUGUGCGGGCGCCCUGCCUCCGAGCCCGAUUUCGUUCCCGUUCGUUCCCGUGGCUUCUGGAGUCUUCUAGAUGAUAGAAAAUUGCGCGACACGUUAAUAUCUCUAUGUAAACCCAACGUGUGGGCCUUUAUUCCAUAAUUCCUGAUAACCCCCUGCAGAAAUAGACAAACACCAAAACUCAUGGAAUUCUGUCAGAUAAAACCCUAAGUCUAGGUGUUAGUUGCAUUUGGAUCCUUUUCCAUGAUUAGUUAACGGUUAAAUGUGAGUAUUAAGGACCGUCAACAAGCUCCCCCAAGCUUAACCUUUGCUCGUCCCUGAGCAAAGAUGAACUCAAGAGUUUCUGCAGUGGUUUCAUAACUUAAAGAUACACAUGCGUUUAAACAAGAUCUCAUCUCUGGUUAGAGUAAACUGUUAAGACUUAAAACUUACUCAUUUACCUUUCACCAUAGGACUUGUAACAGUCACUUUUGUCUUGAGUAGUUAAAAGAUAGAACGGUCUAGUCAAGCACCAUGUCUCUUGUUGUUCGAUUAACUAUAGCUCUAGAGUUUUUGUAGAUUUUCAAAUAAAACUCAGAGAUUCCUUGUAUGACUCUCUCUAGUCUCUCUUUUGUGGUAUUUCUGGAUCCUUACCAAGGCAUUAAUGGUGUAUGCCUUCUCUCAAAGUAUGUGGUAUUUCUGGUAUAAGGCAUAGUGGCAUUGCCUUCUCUCUCACCCUACUCUAAUAAGGCUUUUGAUAUCUGGAGCUCAUAGGUGGGAGACAGCUAAUACAUACUUACAAGACAUUUGUUGCAUAGUCAAACCAUGGAUCCAGAAGAACAAGUCAAUAAGUCAAAUCAAGAUGUGCAUGUGUGGCGAAUGAAUGGUGUAUGGUGAUGAUGGUGAUAAUGGUGAAAGUCUAAUUCUACUUAUGCUCUUUUGAGGGGGUACAUACCUUUCUUGCUCUUUUGAAACUUUUUGAGGAGAAUGAGAUGCUCUAUAUUUUCUUUUUAUUUUCUCUCAGGUGGGUAUCUUAUACCCCUAAUUCUAUUGUCGGACACUUGUCCAUUUUUACCUCUCGUCUCACUUUUUUUUUCUUUUCUUUCGAGGUUCCGGGCACUUGCCCCUUUUUAUUUCCUCGUAUUUAUUUUUUUUCUCUCUUUUUUUAUAUUAGAGCACUCAUCUCCUGAAAUAAUAUAGCAAGUGGUAGUAACGAAGAUAACUUGAGCAUUUAUUUCACAGGGGAAAAACAGAAAUUUUUUUGGCUAUUCUCUCCCAGAUUAGGAGUAGAAUAUUUUUAGGUGGCUCUGGAGAUGGAAAUGAGUGGAUGUGUGUGGAUGCGUACUUCCAGAGUAGAAGCAGCAUGUAUGAGUGAACGUGCAAGUGAAUCUUGACUUAACCACAUGACAAGCUCCUAAGGGUCUACACAGCUUGACCACACUCAAUGCUCAUAAGCAGUAAAAAGUAAAUGUGUGGCUCAAAGUCUAGCAAGCAUGUAUAUAUGGCUGUGGUAGGAAUUUAAACUCUCAUCAUACAGGAACUCAUCAUGUAAUAUUUUAAAGAUUUUCAAAGAUAAAAUUCUCUAGAAUUCUAGCAUCUCUAGGAACAGAUAAACAGCAGCUCAACCUUCCCAUAUCAUAUCCGUUAACGACUUAGACUUUAGAUCAAGUACUCUUCCCACAAGUUCAGGUUUAGAGCCAAUCUUAAUUAAUAACAGUGAUGCCUAAACUUGAGAGAGAUUUCAAUUUUGAGAACUAGUCAUGGCAGAGCAACUAUUCAUCUUUCCAUGUGAGAGCUUAUCAUGAGGGUUCAUAGCAAAUUUUAUUUAUUUAUUUAUUUAGCAAACUAAGCAAAGAUAUAUAUAUAAGCACAAAAUCUUUAUUUGGGUUUUUAUGAUUAUGCAUCUUUUUUAUUAUUUAAGUAAAGUAUAAACAUGAGUAGAGCACUUAGCUGGAUAAAUGGGGUUGCUCUCCCCCAAGCUGGGUUUUGACGUAAUUCCUUCUGAUGUAGCUAGCAGGUGGCGGAGGUGUAUUUGAAUGUGGCAGCACCCUGACAGCGAUUAGGAUGUCCUCCGUCUGCUAGUCUUCUUUGAUCCUUGAAUUCUGUGGAGCUCAAAUACACAACAAAGCUUUGUGGAACUAGUUAAGUGUUAGCAUAAAUAUCUAGCCUUUAUCAUGUUGAGCCUCCUCAAUAAAUAUUACUUUCUUUGGUAGGAUCAUAAAUUUAUUUUUAUAUUUUCAUUUUUAUAGGACAGGAAUAUAUUUAUUUUAUUUUUUUAUGCCACCACAGUGAAUGUACUUAUGGGUUUUAUGCUAUGAGCAUACUCACAUGGGGCUUACUAUUUUUAACAUUUUUAUUUUCUUUUCAAGAUGAUAUGAACCUGAUUAACUAAGCAAACUAUUUUAAAUAAUUGAAAGGAAAAAGAUAACUACCAAGUUUACCUCUUGGCAAGGCGUUCGGUGUCUUUAAGUCCUCCGAACAGGAUUCUCCGUUUUCUCAAUCAUCCUGGAAUUCGCUGGAUGGCGUAGUCGGUGGUUCCGGCGGCGCGUACUCUUCAUAUAUAACUAUCUUCUUUCUCCACACCUGCCUUGGUGCACUUCUCCUUCGUACUCUGCCCAUUCGUCCUUUAUGAUUUUCCUCCUCUGGUUACGAUUGCGUCGUCUUCUUCUUGUCCUGACGUGCUUAGAGUCUUCAACUAUAUAGUUAGGGUCAGUAAAAUAGCGGCGUACCUUCUCAGAGGGAAAAUGCAUGUGGACUUCUCCAGUUCUAAUGUAGAUGAUUGCUUUAACGGUGCUUAGGAACGGUCUUCCAAUGGUGAUGGGUGGAUUGUACUCGUCUUCUCCCAAGUCAAUAACCUUAAAAUCAUCUAGAGCUGAAUGUAUGUUGGUUGUAGGGGCAUGGUUCCAUGCAGGAGCUGAUAGGUGGCUGCGGCCAUUAUGUUGACGCCUGAUCCGGUGUCGCAAAGCGUCUUGUGCAAGUUGUAUCCAUUAAUGGAGCACUGGAUGCUUGGCAUACUUAGGUCAUCCUUUUUGGUCAGGAACGGUGACUUAAGUUGACGAUCUUGACCUUCUUGAACUGCAGUGACCAUCUUAGCUUACUUGGUCCACAUUUGCUUGUUCCUGUUCCUCUUGUUGGUCCUUCCUUGGUUCAUGUCAGGAUUGCUCUAAGAUUUGUGUAGUCUUUUUCUUGAAGGAAAACGUCUCUUUCUUCCCCUUGAUGUAGAAAGUGAUCUUGGCAGCACUAGCGUAGAUGACAGCUCCCAAGGUGUUCAGGAAUGGCCCCCCUAGGAUGGGUGCCCUCUCAUCAGUACCAGUCUCUAUCACCACGAAGUCUGCUGGGGCGUACAAGGUACCAACUCAGAUGAAGAGGUUGUUCAAUAUUCUCUUUGGGAAACUUAGCGUACGAUCUGCAAGCUGCAAACACAUGGUUGUUUCUAGGAAAGGAUGUGUAAAGAUUUUUUCAUAGAGUACCCUGAGCAUAAUGUUGACGCUGGAGCCAAAGUUGCAGAGUGCUUCUAGGAAGUCUACCAUGCCGAUGGAGAUCGGGAUGACGGGACGUCCUGGAUUGUAUCUCUUGACCGGCAAAAGGUCAGUAAUUACUUCCACAACAGGGUUACUCCAGUAGUUACGUCCUCAAGCAUCUCAGGGCAGUGAUUGCCCGAGUGUCCAGUAUCUCCAGUGUGUUUGUGCUCGUAGAUCUAGGUUCUUCACUUGGUGGAGUCUAGGAGUUGUAAAACUCCUUCAUAUUUUGCUCGAAGUGUACCUGCUCAUAAAGACAAGGCAGAGAUCAAGUGCAUGGGCCCUGUUGGUGUAAAACACCAACAAAACCAAAAGUGUAUUUGUUCUUCUCUAACCUCAAGCAUAGUGAGCAAGACAAAGUUGAUGGAUAAUAUGAUCAUGAGUGUAGCAUUUAACAUUUGUCAGAUUAGAUUGCUCAACCUUAUGGAAAGAUAAUCUAUCUAUAUAUAUGUUUUGUUUAUAUCUUCCAAAGAUUGAGUGUGCAACAUUUUAGCUUAUAUGAUUAGGAGUGUGGAAUCACAAAGGUGGAAGGACUAACCAUGUUGAGUCGAUUGGGAUGGUUAAUCUAGAGUUGUAAAUCAUACAUGUUUGUCUCUUUUAUUCAUGUGAACGCCAGAAUCAAGGAGAAGCUUAUAGAAGUGAUAGUCAAAUACCUUAAGAUGUUACCUUAGUUGAAGAGUGAUGGUACAGUAUCACCUUGUGGAAGCUUUCCUCUCUUAGCGGUUGUGCAUCGUGUUUGUGGCACCCUCCAUGGAUCAUCUCUUGUGAGCUAUGCCUUCCUUGUGUAAAUUUUAAACUUCAUGUGUGUCUCUCUUUGUCUCCAAUGUGAGUUUAUCUCAGGACUUCCCAGGUCGAUAUUGAAAGUUUUCCUGCAGGGGUUAGUCCAACAAAAUAUACCAAUGUCUACACAAGCCAUUUUUAGUUCAAUAACCAAACUAGACUCCAUGUCUAAUUAGAUUAAGGAAGGCUGUUUAACCUAAGCACCAUGCUUAAUUUAAAAACCAAUAGAAGUAUGUACAGUACUUCCAAACUAACACUUACUAGGAUAAUCAAACGUAGCGUGAUGGCUUUCAUAGAGAUCUACUCAAGUGGAGAUGAAGUAGUGUGAUUACUAUUUAACAAAUUGAGCAUGUCUCAAAGGUAGGGACAACCAACAUAGCAACAUGGCAAAUGAUGUUUUUAUAUAAAGUACUCCCCCAAGCUUGAAUUUUGCAAAAUUCAAGUUUGGAUGAAUUUAUCAAUGUUGUAUGAUGAUUGGUUGUACAUACCUUGUGCUUGUCAUUCAUCCGAUCUUCUUGCUCCAAUCCUAGAAAGGUUAGUGACAAGAAUACCCGAAGGAAAUUUUUUACAAUUAUCCUUAUAUGCUCAAUACACAAGGUAAUGUUGCAAAUAAUUAAAAGCUCAUGUUACGAUUUGAUCAGUGCUUGUUUUAGGACACUAAGCUUGUCCUUGGGAAACCAUUAAUUUUAUGUCGGCGAAGUGGUUUCCCCUCCAACGCUGACCUAUAUCAAGAUCAACUCAACGAGAUCUGCAAAAUUUAUUAUAGACAUAUGCAUCGACAACCGCCCUUUUAAAGUUUUUAUAAAUAGAAAGGAAGUCGGGGUUGGAGAUCUCGAAUGUGGUGAUGUUGGAGAGACCAAUGGAUUGUGAAGAUGUUGCAUAUGAGCAUGGAGUAAAUGAAGUGGCUAUGAAAUAAAUUCCAUGCUCAUUAAUGCUUAGUGUGAAAUCCAUGUGGUAUGGUGAAAAUGAUAAGGUGAGUGUCGUAAAAAAGGAAAAGAAAAAGGACACACAGACGACUUGGUUCGAAACUAGCACAGCUACCGUUCCCCGGCAACGGCGCCAGAAAGCUUGUUGGGUAUUCCAGAGUAUCGAUUUUCCACAGGGAACGUGAGUGUACUAAUUAAGAUCCAAGAUCGCCCAAGGAUAACUAUAUAAUUAUUUUUGGUGGGAAGAGAGGAAGUUUCCUGAGAGUUCUCUAGCUGAUCUAAGAAUCAAGAAUUACUUCAAGAUUAUCUAUAUCAGGACAUCAGAGCACUAACCACAGAAAGAGAUGAGAAGGGGGCUAGGAAGGUCUGACUACGGUCCUACAAACACCGAUCCGAACGAGGUGGAAUACGUCGACCGUUAGGGCUGUCACUACCCUAAGGCUACCACAACAAUCCGCAGGAUUGGGUGCAAUUCCAGGUAAUUGCAAGACUAAACACCACGUCUAAUCUAUUAAUUACUACUCUAAUGUUUCAAAGAUUAGAGCACUUGAUGCAAGCGGGAAUCCAAUAAAUAACUUGAAUGUAAAUAAAAGUAAUUAGAGAACUCAGGAGUUAUGAAUUGAAGAACCUGGAGAACGAUGAAGAACGAACCAGUUCCUGCAAAAGUAUAAUGUUGAGGAAGAUCCGACAGAUCUGGAUCCUCCUCCUCCGCUCUCCUCUUCUCUCUCCCUAUUUUCUAGAUUACAACUAGAACUAACUAGAACUAGAACUAGAGGAACUAGAACUAGAACUAGAUAAACUAGAACUAGAUCUAGAUGAACUAGAGGUAGAACUAGAAGAACUAGAGGGAUCCUCUCUACUUGGAUGAAGAAUUGAAACCCUAACUUUGAUUCUGUAGAAGAGGUAUGAUCUCCAGGGGCCGGGGGGUCUGGUUUUAUAGUCCCUUCAAGUGAAUCUGGGCCGUCGGAUCAAACCGACAUUAAUCGUACAGUUUUCCUUGAUCCAUUAGGUCGGUGGAGCAUAAUCCGCGAAACGUGUCCUGAUUGGGCACUGUAGCUGGGCGGGCGCCUAGGAGAGUUGGGCGGGCGCCCUGCCUCCGAGCCCGAUUUCCUUCCCGUUCGUUCCCGUGGCUUCUGGAGUCUUCUAGAUGAUAGAAAAUUGCGCGACACGUUAAUAUCUCUAUGUAAACCCGACGUGUGGGCCUUUCUUCCAUAAUUCCUGAUAACCCCCUGCAGAAAUAGACCAACACCAAAACUCAUGGAAUUCUGUCAGAUAAAACCCUAAGUCUAUGUGUUAGUUGCAUUUGGAUCCUUUUCCAUGAUUAGUUAACGGUUAAAUGUGAGUAUUAAAGACCGUCAACAUACACGUUGAGCAAAACAUGGAGAAGUUUUACAACUCUCAGACUCCACUAAGUGAAGGACCUGGAUCUACGAGCACAAACACACUAAGCAGGAUGCUGCCAACGCCGCACUUCGAACUGCUGGGCAAACAAAGAAGAUGGGUGACACCGUGUCAAGAGGUGCAGACGUCAAGGUCCGCACCUGAAUCAAAUGACGCAUCUAAAGAAUGAACACGGUGAGAAGUCUUGUUCAGAAGACUUAAAACAUUGAACCCUCACCGAAAGGUAAAAUCGAUAGUUAUCCAUAUUUAUCCUUUCUACAUUCCCUUUUCCCUCAAAUUAUUGACUUUCCUUAAUACCUUGUCAGUUAAUCAUGCUAUCUUGAAAAGAGAUUAAAAAUGUUAAACAUAGUAAGCCCCAUGUGAGUAUGCUUGUGGCAUAAAACCCAUAAGUACAUUCACUAUGGUGGCGUAAAAAUAAAAUAAAUAUAUUCCUAUCCUAUAAAAAUAAAAAUAUAAAAAUAAGAUUGUGAUACGACUAAAGAGAGUAACAUUUAUUGAGGAGGCUCAACAUGAUAAAGGCUAGAUAUUUGUGCUAACACUUAACUAGUUCCACAAAGCCUUGUUGUCUAUUUGAGCUCCAUAGAAUUCAAGGAUGGAAGAAGACUAGCAGACGGAGGACAUCCUAAUUGCUAUCAGGGUGCUGCCGACAUUCAAAUACACCUCCGCCACCUGCUAGCUAUAUUAGAAGAAAUUAUGUCAAAAUCCAUCUUGGGGGAGAGCACCCCCAUUUAUAUAGCUAAGUGUUUCUACUCGUGUUUAUACUUUACUCAAAUAAUAAAAAGAUGCAUAAUCAUAAAAACCCAAAUAAAUAUUUUAUGUUUAUAUAUAUAUCUUUGCUUAGUUUGCUAAAUAAAUAAAUAAAUAAAGUUUGCUAUGAACCCUCAUGAUAAGCUCUCACAUGGAAAUAAUGAAUAGUUGCUCUGCCAUGACUAGUUCUCAAAAUUGAAUUCUCUCUCAAGUUUAGGCAUGACUAAGUUUAGGCAUGACUGUUAUGAAUUAAGAUUUGCUCUAAACCUAAACUUGUGGGAAGAGUACUUGAUCUAAAGUCUAAGUCGUUAACGGAUAUGAUAUGGGAAGGUUGAGCUGUUGUGUAUCUGUUCCUAGAGAUGCUAGAAUUCUAGAGAAUUUUAUCUUUGAAAAUAUUUAAAAUGUUGAAUGAUGGGUUCUUGUAUGAUGAGAGCUUAAAAUCCUACCACAGCCACAUAUACAUGCUUAUUAGACUAUGAACCAUACAUUGACUUUUUACUGCUUAUCAGCAUUGAGUGUGAUCAAGCUGUGUAAACCCUUAGGAGCUUGUCAUGCGGUUAAAAUCAAGAUUCACUUGCACGUUCACUCAUACAUGUUGCUUCUACUCUAGAAGUACGCAUCCACAUACAUCCACUCAUUUCCAUCUCCGGAUUCACCCAAAAUUAUUCUACUCCUAUCUGGGAGAGAAUAGCCAAAAACAUUAUCCCAUUCCUACUUUUCCCUGUGAAAUAAAUGCUCGAGAUAUUUUGAUUACUACCACUUGCUACAUUAUUCUAGGAGGGUGAGUGCUCAAAAAAAGAGAGAGAAGAAAAAAUAAAAAUACGAGGAAAUAAAAAUGGGCAAGUGCCCGAAACCUCGAAGAAAAGAAAAAGUGAGACAAGAGGUAAAAAUGGACAAGUGUCCGACAAUAGAAUUAGGGGUACAAGAUACCCACCUGAGAGAAAAGAAAAAGAAAAUAUAGAGCAUCUCAUUCCCCUCAAAAGCUUUAAAGUGCAAGAAAGGUACGUAUCCCCUAAAAAGAGCAAACGUUGAAUUAGACUUUCACCAUUGUUUUCACCAUUAUCACCAUCAUCACCGUACACCAUUCAUUCGUCACACAUGCACAUCUUGAUAUUGACUUAUUGACUUGUUUCUGAUCCAUGGUUUGACUAUGCAAUAAAUGUCUUGUAAGUAUGUAUACUUUAUCUCCUACCUAUGAACUCUAGAUAUCAAAAGCCUUAUUAAAGUAGGGUGAGAGAGAAGGCAAGGUCACUAUGCCUUAUACCACAAAUACCACAUACUUUGAGAGAAGGCACACACCAUUACUGCCUUGGUAAGGAUCCAGAAAUACCACAAAAGAGAGACUAGAGAGAGUCAUACAAGGAAUCUCUGAGUUUUAUUUGAAAAUCUACAAAAACUCCAGAGCUAUAGUUGAUCAAGAACAAGAGACAUGGCGCUUGACUUGACCAUUCUAUCUUUUAACAGCUCAAGACAUAAGUGACGGUUGCAAGCCCCAUGGUGAAAGGUAAAUUGAGUAAGUUCUAAGUCUUAACAGUUUACUGUAACUCAGAGAUGAGAUCUUGCUCGAAUGCAAGGCGAAACCACUGCAGAAACUCUUGAGUCCAUCCUUGCUCAGGGACAAGCAAAAGGUAAGCUUGGGGGAGUUGUUGACGGUCCUUAAAUACCAAAUAUAAUCAACAAAUAAAUAAAGAAAAGGAUCCAAAUUCAACCAACACCC